rnacentral:pre_miRNA from 1 species
UCCACACCCAUGUGUGUCGGACCCCAAAAGAUCACCAUUUAAAUUUGGCACAGAUCUCUAGAAAAGUUAUCACAUGGGUGUGAGACUUGACUUUUCUAGCGAUUUGUGCUAAAUUUAAUACUGAUCUUUUGGGGUCCUACACACAUGGGUGUGUG